UAUGGAAUUGGCGGAAAUGACUGGCAGAAUCCGAGACCAGGCAGAAGAGUCGGUGGAAGAAGACUGGAAAAAGUUUAAAGACUAUUUACAGAAAUACUGUAAAAUUAAUGAAUGUUAGAAAAAUGUUGGAAUGAAGUUAUAUGGCUUUAGUAGAAAUGUUAUAAGGAAUUAAGUAUAAAUAGAUUAAUAGAGUAUUAAAGGGAAAAAUAAGGUUAGAAUGUGUUAAGAUAAUUAUAGGAUAGAAAGCAGAGGAAGAUGGAAAGGAAUUGCUGAAACAAUUAAUAGAAGUGGAAUACAAAAAGGGAGGUGUGAGGAGGUCAUUGAAAUAAGUGAAUGAAAGAUAAGAUAUUGAAAUUGUUUGAUGUGUUUUAAACUGUUUUUGUUUUGUUUUGUUAGUUUAAUGUGUUAGUGUUAUUUAGUGUUUUUGUAUUGUAUUGUAUUGUUCAUUUUCUUUUGUUUGUAGUGUUUAAAUUGUUGGAAAAGUAAUAAAUAUUAUUUU
rnacentral:lncRNA from 1 species